GAAAAGGGUCAGAUAUGCCCUCUACUUUCGAAUAUUGUCUACAUUUAACCUCUGUUAUACUAUCCUGUUAAAUUUACCCCUAGUGUCAUGCUAUGUGGCCAAAUUUAUCCGUAUUAUCAACAAACAUUUAAAAAUUAGGGGAAAAAACGUAAAUAGCCAGCCCACUAUCUUUUACAACUUUUCCAAGCCAUAAAGUUUUAUUAAAAAAUAAACUAAAAUAGUGUAGCCAUAUAGCUUAAGAUAAAAAUCCCCGAAUAGCAAAAAAUAAGACGAAACGAUCGUUCUCUUCUUUUUGUCUCGUUCCUUUCUUCACAAUUUAGAGAAACCCUAACAAUGGAGUUUUUUACAAACAAAAAUAAAAUCUCUACACAAAUCACAAUAAACCCUUUAUUUCUGUCAUAUACACGCACACUAUGUAUAAAUACCGUAUUUUCAUAGUUCAUUACACAUUACGCAUGGAGUAUACAGUGUAUGUUUGAUGUAUAAUCAUUGUAAAUCUAUGUAUAAUUAACAUAUAUACAUAACACACCGACUAUAUACUGAGUUCUACAAUAAUUAUACAUCGAACAUCAACGAACAUCUCCAUCUUUCCUUUCUUCUUCCAUUAAAAUCAACAAGACCACACCAUUUUCAUUCUCCUGAAUCAUAAUUCCCCUGUAAAGUAUUUUCUUCUCACUUAGCCCGUUUGCCCAUAACAAUGCGCCUUACCUGACCUUGUUAAUGUCAUAACCAAUUUAUAGAAAUAGAACCGCUCAUAACAGUGCGCCUUACCUUUUUCAGACCCUGUUAAUAUCAUAAUCAAUUUAUAGAAAUAGAAAUCUUCACUUCAACGAGAAGAGAAGCUCAACUUUAAUCGGUGAGAUUGAGCGAGAACAAAGGGAAUGCAGGGAGAGAGAAAUCGAAAUUAUUUACUUUGUAUAAUAUCAGAUGGGUAUUGUAUCCCUUAUAAUCCCUAAAAUUAAGUGAUUUCAAAUCACAAUUCCUACAUUUAGGAUUAGCUUAACUGGCUAAAACAGUAAAAAAGCUAUGUACAACAACAACAACAAUAACAACAACUACCCAGUG
rnacentral:lncRNA from 1 species